UUAAAUUAUUUAAAUGUUUCACAUGUUGCUUUGUUACUCAUGGUUGUUUGUUAUGCAUAACUUUCAGAGUCAGUUAGCGGGUUGGACCAAGUGGAACAUAUGUCUCAGCAGAAACCGAACUCUGUUGAAUCUGAUAGCCAGAAAUAUGACGGAGAUAGUGCUCCAAAUUCUGGUCAGUUUUCGCCUGGGAAGUCGUACCAGGCUGCUGUUUUAAAAAAUCGAUUUGCUGAUACGAUAUUUAAAGCUUGAGAAAAGACACUCAAUGAGGCUGGGGUUGCAAGAUCUGUAGGAGUGGGAUUCGCAGCAGUUUGGCAAUUAGCACUUGUGACACAUGUUGUGGUGCCUUUAGUUGCUAUAAUUGGAGUUAUUCAUAUGGCUACAUUGGAUAAAUUGUCUUCUAAAAGCCACGAAGCUUUUUUAGAAGCCAGAAGCAUUGUUGAGCCGGCGAUAACAACUUGAUUGUUACUGCUCGCCUUCAUAUAUAGUUAAAUGAUGUUAGAAACAGAUCCGAGGCCAAGUUUUGAUGAUGGGAUCAUAUUGAGGAGUUAGGUGGUGGAUCUG